GACUGAAGCACGCAGAGGGAGAAGACUGCACGGUUCCUCAGUAGUAAAAACUCCUUUGCUUUUUAGCUCCCAAGGAUCUCAGCCUCAUCAGAGGUGGUGUUCCUUAGCAUUCAGAUAAAGGGGCCUACACAAGAUUUCAGGAAGAGGAACACAGUUCUGGUAAAGAACACCCAAAGUUUGGUCUUUGUCCAGACAGACAAACCCAUCUACAAACCAGGACAGACAGUAAGAUUCCGUGUUGUCUCUGUGGAUGAAAAUUUUCGCCCUCAAAAUGAACUGAUUCCACUGAUAUACCUUGAGAAUCCAAGAAGAAAUCGAGUUGCACAAUGGCAGAAUCUCAAGCUAGAGGGUGGCCUCAAUCAAUUGUCAUUUCCCCUAUCAUCAGAACCCAUUCAGGGCUCCUACAAGGUGGUGGUACACACAGAAUCAGGUGGAAGGAUAGAGCACCCCUUCACCGUGGAGGAAUUUGUGCUUCCCAAGUUUGAGGUCGAAAUUCAGGUGCCCAAGAUAAUCAGUAUCAUGGAUGAAAAAGUGAACAUAACAGUAUGUG